ACUCAACACGGGGAAACUUACCAGGUCCAGACAUAGUAAGGAUUGACAGAUUGAGAGCUCUUUCUUGAUUCUAUGGGUGGUGGUGCAUGGCCGUUCUUACUUGGUGGAGUGAUUUGUCUGGUUAAUUCCGUUAACGAACGAGACCUCCGCCUGCUAAAUAGUCACGCGGUGCUUUGUGCACCCGCGGGAGUACUUCUUAGAGGGACUAUCGGCGUUUAGUCGAUGGAAGUUGGAGGCAAUAACAGGUCUGUGAUGCCC
rnacentral:rRNA from 1 species